ACAAAUAAAUAAUUCAAUCCACCCAAAUAUUUUAAGGUGUAAAAAUAAGUUAGCCUGUAUCGCUGGAGCAAUACUGUAGUCAAAACCACUGGUUCACAGUACCCCCUUAAAUAAUACUUUGAUGUACCACCAUCAUGACAUUAAAUCAUUAAAUUACAGCUGUGUAGUAGGCCCAGUUGUUCAUUAAAAAAAAAUGCGAAAAGUGCAUGUUAUAUUAUUUGAAGCCACUGUGAAUAACACAGUUUCAAUAUUAAUAUUCCGCUUAAGUACAGGAAUUAAAACAUGCUGCAAAUAUAUGAUUAAAUCAAAAAAAUUGGACCUUCAUUCAUGCUUUAAAAAAAUAACAUUUGAAAAGAUUAAAUGUAAAUAUUGUGUCCUGAAAAAUUAAAUACAACAAAACAAAAAAAAAUUAAUUCAGCAGAAAAUGUUGAACUAUUUAAUUGAGUCAUUCUUCAGCGUACUACUUGUGGUACUUUUCCAAUUAAAGUAAAACUGCUUUGUUUGACUAAUAAGUCAAAAAACAUUCCAGCGUAAACAGAAUUUUACAUUCAAUCUCGCUCCCUCCUUUAAUUCGAUUUGAACCGGGAAGCGAUGUGCCCGAUUUUUAAUUUUUUUUUUAAACAUCCACUUUACCCUUCAUUGCUGUACUCUCUGAUGCGAUAUGCAUUGUUGAAAUGAGGCACUGCUAUGUGUCAGUCCAUUUGUAAGCACAGAAGAGAACCCCCCACCCCCAACCCCCAACCCACUCCCCUCCCUUGUACCCUCGCUGAUGUCCGUACAUUAUCCGAACAUCAGAUCGUAUUGAUUUUGCCACACGGCUCCGAUUUCAGCAACAGCAUGUGACACACAAGCUGGACGCAGCGCUAAAAGCCAGCCAACUUUAUCCUGAUCUUCAACCAAAAGGUGACCACCACCACAACCACCGCCACCACCACCUCACCCCGGCGACAUGCCCCGCCCACCCCUCACUCCCCUCCAACGAAACAUAAUAAGUGACCAGCAAAUACAGCCUAAUUGAAAGGGCUGUAAAUCCAUUACAUUUUGGUCAGGGGGGGGAUAAUCAGGAGUGCUUUAAUCACUUUUAUCUUUUCAGGAGCAGUGAAGCUGCAACUACAAAGCCCCCGCCCCCCCCCCCCCCCCACCACCCCGAAGCCGCGCAGGCAGGCCCGCUUAUUGCUUAUUAUUCUCAUCAUUAUCAAAAUGACUUCAGCAGCUGUUCACAGCUAACUCGCUCGCUCGCUCGCUGGUCGGACUGCACGAAAAUGUGACCAUCAAGUUGAGGAUGUUGAUUUGAGAGAUCAAAAGUGACUCCUUUGAGAAAACUGUCAUGCGCGCGGAAGAAUGUGCCAACCCGAAGUCAUUUCAACUCCGUUUGGGGAUUCCACUUUUUAAACACUCACCCUCGUCAGGUUGAAAUAUUUGUGUUCAUUUUUAAAGUAGCGUUUUCAAGUCGAUUGCAAAAAUAAAAAAAAAUACAUAAAUAAAUAAAUACAUAAAUACAUAAAAUCGCCACUAGGUCGUUUAGUGGACCUUCCUUGGAAAAUAUUUUCACGCUAUCGCUCCACAAUUCAGUCCUACCUAGCUCUCAGCAACUAUAUUCAACCCGAUAUAAUGUUAUUUACAGUACAAACACAUCUCUCAAUACACUUUAUGGAGUCUUGAAGUAAAAAAAAAAAAAAAAGACGCUUUGAAUAUCAGAUUUAUUUGUGUUGUAAUUGGAAUGAGACCUCAUGCAAAUAAGCGCUGCUCCAAAUCAGCAUGACACACACCGGUCCUUUUGGAAGUCUUUCGAACGCUUUCAAGGAAAGAAGGGAACAACUCAAUGGACAGUUUUUAGGGCGUCGCUUCAUUCAGUGUGUUUUCAUGCAUCCCGUCCCCUCCCCGCUCUCUCUCUCUUUUUUUUUUUUUGCCAGCUUGUAGAUGUUCUCUCCAAUCUUCAUUUGUUUCCUUUGUGUAAAGCGCAGGCUCGUCUUGUACAAAUAAUAAUCCCUCCCUUUUAACCUGCCUUUAUUUCUUCAAUGCGGAAGAGGACUAAUUGAAUUAUCCCCCUUCUCUCCUCUCACCAUCCAAUUCUCCCACCCAUAAACUCUCCCACACACACGUUCGCACACAUUCGCAUCCCAGCCCGCCCGUCCGCCUUUCUUUUAAUUUGUUAAGCAAAUGUAUUUUGCCGUUUGCUGGAUGCAUUUGGGGUUGAAUUCUGAGGGACUUUGGCCCCUGAAUGGCCCAUAGUGGCAUUCUUCUGUCAUGGGCUCAUUCAUUAAGUGAGGGGUGAGGAGUGAAAAGGAGCCGCCUGGUCUUCCAUGAGCCACGGGGGUCUCUCUACAUAUGUUCUCAACAUCCAGCCAUUGUCGCGUUUGUCUCAAAAGCUCCAAAAGGACAGAGCGGCUAACCCUCUCCCCGCCCCCUCUGCUACUCUACCCGAAGGAUAUCACCUAGCACCCCCACCACCCCCAACCCCACCCCGCACCAACACACACUCAACUCUCAACUGUUGGCUUGUGGAUUCAGUAUGACAAAAAUUUCCUCAGUGCUAACAAAUUUAAAUCAUAUUUGUCCCUUUACUGCUUUGUUUUUUUGUUUUGGGUGCUUCCCCUAAAUUAGGUCAUGGAGGCGUUGUUGAUUUAAGUUAACUUGCUGUUGAAAAGAAGCUCCAACAUGUCAGCAGCUACAAGACGUUGAGCGACAGCCUAUCACGAUCUAGUGCAGAGGUGGGCAAACUAUGGCCCGCGGGCCGAAUGCGGCCCGUUGGUCUUUUUAAUCCGGCCCGCCGAAGGUUGGUACACAAUUAAGGUUCGAUGUCAACGACUGCAUUCAUUUCAUUUGGACUUGUAAUGACACGCAUUUCAACGCCAGGCGGCACAGUUACUUGAAGUUGCAGAGCGUAGGGAGGAAGGGGGAGACGAUACGGAAGCGCGCAGUAGCGCCAAGUCAAGCAAAUCCCGUUCGAUACGACGGAAUAAUGUACUCUUAAAGUCUGAAAAACGUGCCCAAAAAAUGCAAAAUACUGCUUUUUAAAUAAAGAAAUCCAAUUAAUAUUAUGUUGAAUUUAGUUCACCCUUUUGAUAUGGCCCUCCAUAAUAUUUUCUGGUUCUCAUGUGGUCCUAUGCAAAAAAUAAUUGCCCACCCCUGAUCUAGAUCACUCUGGAACGGUGUGCAAGGUUUUCAGAACAUUCAGCGACCGUCUCAAAUUUCACUUUGUUUUCGUGUGGUGUAAAAACAAAUUCAGCGCUAUGUUUAGGGUAUGCAGGCGGGGGACACCCUGAACCGGUUGCCGGUCAAUCGCAGGGCACACAGAGACGAACGAGCAUCCGCGCACAGAUGAAGGUCGUUGAGUACAUUUCACGAUGCUAACCGAGACAUUUGCGGGACACAUUCCGGCGCGUUGCUUGGUUGCCAACAAGUGCGCGAAUGAUACAAUGGACGAGAGCAAUUAAGAUGGAGUUGUUGCUGUUUUCCGUAUGUCAAAUUCCCCAGCGCUGCGACUUUGUUACUCAGGCUUGCUAUUUGCCAUUUUGCCUGCACACCACAUGAUGGAAACUGAAGCCAGGUUGGGAUUUACUGUUCCAAGCUGAACUAAACCCCGCCCGCCGCUUGGUGGUCGCGGAUUCAAUUACCUUCGCUACUGUCAGUCCUCCCUCCCCAAACGCAACCUGUUGCGUCAUAACCUGAAGUCCAUAUGUUCAUCCGGGGCCGAGCACGCAAGCUGGCAACUUUAAAUGCCCCCCACCCCUCCUCGUAUAUGGAAUUGGAACGGGGCCGCACCGGCAGCUCAGCUGGUGUUAGCGGGGUCCUAGCAUCACUCCACUCCCUCUCGCUCUUUAAUACCCCGCUGGCCUCCCUCCCGUCCGUCCCCAUGAGGUUCUGGAUGUCUUCCAGCCACAUUAGAGGAAGGGAAAUCCCAGACUGUUGGUAUAAGCUUUUCAAUACUACAGGGAGAUUAUGUUAUCAGGAAGGUAAACUUGGGCAUUUGGGGUUGGGGAGGGGGUACUACUGCCCCCUCGAAUGCAUGGAUGACGACAAGGCAGUUAUAUAGCAGGACGGAUGCUUCUGGGUUUUUUUUAUGUUUGUUUUUUUCAACCAUUUUCAAAACUUUUUCAGCCAUGCGCAUCUGCUGAAUGUUUCUACUGUCAUUUUCAGUUUUAAAGCGUAUUUCUACGAAAUGUAAAUGCUUACUAAUUAGGCUUCAUAGUGUUGCUCAUUCAAAAAAAACCAAAGUUCCGAAUGUUCAACAACUCUCACGUUCAGACUUUUAACCCGCACAAAACCCAAUUUGAACUAAAAGUGGAAACAAGCGUUCAGAACAUUCGUCGAAAGAUUCUCCCAACCACACUUUUAAGAAGAAACUGGCGUCACCCCGUGGGACGGUCACACAACACAGUUUGACACUAGGAUCGAAGCAUGUGUUAAGUAUAAGGCUGCAAGUCAUGCAUAUUUGAUUAAUUUGUCGAUUAUUUUGCCGAUUAAUCGACAGAUCUGAAAAAAAACAACAACAACAAAAAUUCCAUCCCUUUGUCCCAAACAGGACAGUCCAGAAAAUGCACAAAGUGCAAGAGUAUCAGUUAUGUUUAUUUUGAUAAUUGACCAGUUGUCCGUGAAUCGAUGAAUUAUUUGCAGCUCCGACUAAGUCUCUUUGGAGAUCAAUUUGAGCUUGGCGCACCCCCUGUUGGGCGCAAUCACUGUGGCAGAAGACAUUGAGAGGGCUGAAUAAAAGUCAAUACUGUUGCACUAAAAUGCCCGAUGAGCCCCCUGGCUUUCCUUCCCCAUCACCCUCGGCUAGAAAAACUGGCCCUCCUUCACCCCUGUUAAGACGGAGGCAUGGCCUCACGAUGAAAACAGGAAGCAGUCCGAUGGACAGACCUUGUCUUUGGACUUUGCGUAAAACCCACUAAACUCCAAUCAAAAUAAAUAGUGACCGCGCAGAGCGGUCAGUCAGAAGAGUAGCUGGCCCCUGCGCGGCAUCAGUUGUCUCAAGUUUUGUUGCCGGGUCACCCUUUGGCCCGGGCGUUUGGGGGAAAUGCUGUUAAGCUGCUAAGCCAGGUGUAUUGGUCCCUCGGGCUCGGCUGAAGGGGAAGCGAUACAUCCCUUUUUUUGAAAGUGCUCGGACUGAGGCAAGGAAACGCUGUCAAUGGCGGAUUGUAGUUGUAUUAUUAUGGUGGAACGUUUGGGGGGGGGGGGGGGACACAAAACAAGUCUUCAUUCAAAUUUUUUUCUAAUUUUAGUGUUUAUUGAGAUUUGAUCGUGUUUCAUGGGGUUUUAGUUUCGGUUUAACCCUUUCAGGGACAGGGGUGACUACAGUGGACAGCCUAUCAUGUUAUCUGGUUUCAGGGUGCAUGAAGCGGUGAAUUGAUUCUGCUCGUGAUUUCUCACAAUUGUUAGGAAACGGAUAAAUAUCAAUCUGCAACACUUGAAGGUUUGCUGUUUCCGAAACUGACUUCCCCGCAUUUCGCAACAAAGAAGGAAGAGUUGACAGGACUGUUGUGCUUUGUCUCGGUUACCCGAGAUACGAGUUGGUUAGCGCUUUUCUUGCGCUAACCAACAUGGUUUGGUUAAUUGUCGAGAUAUAAUUAUUUGAAAGUUGCUCCAACUUAAAUGACUUUUUUUAAAGCAAAAAAUUCACCACGACAAAACAUGUAACCUUCCAGAACUGUUGAUUUAAAAAAGAACAAAAUACAAUUUAUGAAACUUGUCCUCUCUGAGAAUGCUGCUCAAAAUCCCAAUCGUAACGUAUAUCUGUGUAUGUAUUAUCAAGUAUAAAAAAAAAAGUAUACAGUACUGUUCUUGUGUCGUCGGUCAGCGCCAUGUGAUUAACCCUAGUGAGGACACAUCCCACUCUGCGAGGAGAUGAGUGCAUUGUGCCGCAAACAUCAUUAGAUACACCAGUGACAAUGCUUCUGCCCACUCCCCCUCCUCCCCUUCCCCAUCCCCAGCCCAAUGUAGAAUUAGUCUCCAUGACAACAGGGUGUCAUCGCCAGGUCGAGCCCUCCUAUGGGAGCUGCUCUCUCAACCGCCCUUUUAUAGAUGCACAUAAAAGAGACAGCCCGGGUCAUUCACAAGACAUGGGCGCAGGCCAGUCCGGGCCAGGCCGGGCCGGGCCCUGGCAACGGAUGUUUGUCCCAUAUGAUAAACAAGUGUACGCGUCGGCGCAAAAAGCUUGUUUGCCGAGGUCUUCGUUUGUAUUGUCACUUUUGUUUGAGCUCUUGUCGUCCUUUUAAUCCGGACGGGUUGGAUGAGUCGAAAAAGGCCAACAGGCCAAAGUACCACGGCAACAGUAUAUAACGUAGAUGUUUCUAAUAAUAAAAAAAUAUAUAUAUAAUAAUACAAUUGUGCUGUGAAAAAAAAACGAAAAGAGGUUGCCUUCAUUUUAGAAGAAUUGAUCGGCUUGUGCCUUUCAGACAGAACUCUGUGACCGAAAUGCAGUUUCCGACAGCUGCUGCAAGCUUCACGCAUUCAGAUAAUUGUAUGUGUGGCAACAAUAGCUUAACGAUGCAAACGGGCAGUGAAUUAAAAUAUUUGAAGGAAAACAUUUUGGAUUAUGACCAACACCACCAUUAAAAAUACAAUCCAGGUGAGAGGAAAAAAAACCUUUUUUCAAAAUUGUUCCGACCUAGUCCGACACAAUUCGCGGACAAACUGAAUGGCGAUUGGAUCCCACACGCACGUAGACACAAAACCCGAAACAAAAAUAUUCAUUCACUGAAAACAAAAGCGCACCGUCAGUGUAGAAACGGAAAUCGCUGGUCACAAGUAUCCAGGAAAAACGAAAAGCGCUUAUGAAAAUAGUAUAACCGAGAAUAUGAACACAAUGACGAGAGUCCAAUUACGCGAAUACAAAACAAGAUCGAGAGCAAAGACAAAAUAAAAUCAAUGCUUACAAACAAGGGACGAGAGAGCAAAAAUGACAAAAAUCGAGAGGUCUAGAAAACAACACUCGAGCGUGAGCAGCAAACAAGCUCAAUAAUCCGACGCAGACUUGGAAAUGAGGCAGGAUUAAAUACACGGCACAAUUGAAAAACACUAGCGACAGGUGUGCAUGCUGGAGGGCAGGCCCCCGUCUGCCACCUGCUGGAGAAACAAGAACAGAAUCAUGACACCCAGAUUCAGAUAAUAAGACGCUUGGUAACAUUCUUUUGUUUGCAGUUUUCACAUGGGCAAAUUUGCCAUUUGACUUCAACCCCUUAACCCCAACCCACAUCGACAACCUUACAUUGCUGACUCCAAAUCUUUAUAGCCCGGGCACGUAUUUUAACUCCCAAAAAUCCCACGGGCACGCCACCAAACAAAAAUGUCUCAAAAAUUGGCGACCUAUCAAUUAUAGACUCUAAUUUAUUUAUUUACUUUUCUGUUUUUCAGUGGCAUAGAUAGAUCAACAACAUAGUCCAUUAUUUGUUAUGGAUCAAUAAUCUUCUGACCAAUUAAGUGAAAUUCAAUCAUUUUCACUUUAAGAGUUUUCUCUACACUAUUGUGGCCCGGGAACUUACACACACACGGCAGCAAGCCAGGAAAAAGACGGCCGGCCGGCCCGCCAGUGUCAAAGCAGCUAUUGGACUGCUUGCUGACCAGCGCACAAAAGUUUUUCAAAUCAAUCCAACUUUUUGCUCUUGAUCUUCAACCCUGAUGACUGAGUUGGAACUGAGCUGAUUGACAGCCAAAAAGCUGCAUGAGGCCCCCCGAGCCUGUGUCGGCCACUCUUCUCAUCCGAGCAGCGUAUAACUGGUCGCGACACAUCUGCAAACACUUUGAACAGCUCUUCCGUCUCCAAAAAAAAAAAAAACCAAAAAGAUCCGACGCAUUGGCUUCUGCUGUCCUCACGGUCUGGUCUCAAGGAGUAUUUGACGUUUUCAAGACAGAGAUUUUCAAGCCAGGACAAAGGAGAAGCAGGGAGAAGGUUUUAGGGGCUUGAAAAUGGCGUCAAGACAGGGGUGGGGUGCGGGGGGGGGGGACGCUCCUAAAGGUCACAAAGGUGCAGGCCUGGAGGAGGCCCACACACUAAUCCGUCAUGUGCUUGUUUGCCUCGCAGCCCAAAAGUCACCUCUCCGGUCAGCCAUGGCAACCCGGCUGACCGUUUUGCUUCCACGGGGCCCGAAACGGGCGACUGUUAAUACUGAAAAAAGAAAGAAAGAAAGAAAAAAAAAGAAAAAGAAAGUCAUCACGUUACUUUAGUGACAAUACCCACAAUGCUUUGUGUGAGUUUGUUUGCCCAACAGACAUUAGGCACAAUUGGACAAGCCGGUUUCCUUUUCGGGGGUGCGUGGGAGUGGGGGGGGUGCUGUGAUAAAGAUGGCGUGGAGGAGGUGCCUUCGCUAUUGUCUGGCGGCUUCUCAAUGGCCACCAUCUGCUCUUUGAAACCGACGGCCAGCAUCGUACUCGAUUCCCCUUAAACGUCUUCACAUGAGCUCUUCAUUUCGACAUGAGAUGAGAAAACGGCAAAAGGCCGAGUGAAAGUUUCGAGCGGGAUCCGGUGACGUCGCAUUUUUUUCACAGGCUGUAUAAUUAUAUCGCGGGUCACAUCGACUCCGGCGUUACGCCGAGCCCGGCCGGAGCUUAGGCGUGAUUUCUUUGCUUGUACUUGUAAUAAGCUUGAGUGCGUUUCAUUCGCCUCCGUCGGACCUUUAUACUUUGCCCCCCCCUAAUCCAGAUCUGUCAAAGUUCCACUUCAAAGCCACCUAAAAUCACGCGCAAUCCGCUGACAUAUAAAGUAUGACGCUCGCGUGCGCCUCCGUAAAGCAGCAGCAUGUUACCGCACUUUUAUUUAUGUUUUCAUCUAGAUGAGCCCCACAUGUUUUGUGGAUGGGGAAAUGCAAGGAAAGCGGCCAUAAUCCCUCCCCUCGCUGGUCCCCCCCCACCCCAAAUCUCCCCUCCCUGACUGGCCCUUUAGGUUUAUUUUCAAUCCCGCCGUUGCAGCCUCGUGAAGAAACAACAAAAAAAGAAAAAAAAGGGUUUCGACACAACCCGUUUUUCUCCAAGCGGAGUUUUUUGGACUUUGACGAUCUUCACCCAGAACUCCAAUGCUGUGGGGAUUUACGCUCCGCUGAGAAUAAAGCCACGUUUCCACCGAAGCGGUCAAGUUUGGUUCACCACCAUGUGCUUUGUAACAGGAAACACGAGUCUCUGGUUUUUUCGUUUCCGUGGCUGGUUUGCGCAGGGAGAUCGGCAAUAGCGGGCAUCUGCGCAUUUAACCCACCGUUAAAGCCCACAACAGAGACGGGGGAAAAUACAGGGGGCUCCUCGGUUUUACCACGGUCCUGGCAUACCGCAUUUUGAGGUUACGAACGACACUUGGCAGUAGAAAAAGUGCUCGCUUGUGGCGUUGGAACGAUUCCGAAAAACAAUCGCGCUUCCCUCAAUAUUGUGAUUACGAUUUAACAUCGCGAUUAUUCCGGGAGGGUAAAUAGUAACAAAAAGUGGUACAGUGCAGAUGAUCCCGUUUUUUUUUUUAAUCGUAUUCUACUUUUUGACUGAUGUCUCACCGUAUACCACUGAACACUUACAUCAACACACCACCAUCUAAAAAAAAAUAAUAAUAAUAAUAAUACACAUAAAUGCUAAUUUAACCCUUUUGGGUUAAUUUUGGUGCAUGAAAGGGUUUCAAAUUU